rnacentral:rRNA from 1 species
UUUUAGAAAUUAAUUUAAAGUCUAGCCUGCCCACUGAAUAAUUUUAAAUGGCCGCAGUAUCUUAACUGUGCAAAGGUAGCAUAAUCAUUAGUCUUUUAAUUGAAGGCUGGAAUGAAUGGUUGGAUGAAAUAUUAACUGUUUCAUAAAAAUUUAUAAUAGAAUUUUAUUUUUUAGUCAAAAAGCUAAAAUAAAAUUAAAAGACGAGAAGACCCUAUAAAUCUUUAUAUUUAGAUAAUUUUAAUUAUUUAGAUAAAUUAAAUUAUAAUUAUUUUAAAUAUUUUAUUGGGGUGAUAUUAAAAUUUAAUAAACUUUUAAUUUAUAAUGUACAUAAAUUAAUGAAUUGUUGAUCCAUUUAUUAUGAUUAAAAAAUUAAGUUACUUUAGGGAUAACAGCGUAAUUUUUUUAGAGAGUUCAUAUUGAUAAAAA